UCGCGCAGUUCGUGUCAUAAGUUAUUAGCGCGUAGUUGAAUGGCGACAUUGCUCCGAGUUUUCACAUUUUUUAUUCGUUCCACGCGUAUUUGUUAUAUAAACGAAACGCGAUCUGACAGGCAAACAAUCAUCUGUCUAUCGAUUGUCAUCAGGACUGAUGCAUCUCUCCCGAUAUCAAGAAUUUUUUGUCUCAAUGAGGCGUCGCGGGAAAACGUGGGAAAGCGCGCCUAAUCUUGAUACUCAUCUCUAUAGUAUGACACAAUAUUGACGUCGUUCGCGAAUGUCAAGUCUCGAUCGUUCCGGUAUGUUUAGUCGAGGUAGUUAACGAUCGUCCUCGUGUAUUAAUUAUCGCGUUAUUUGCUCAAUACGAUCGCGAACGUGCCUCUCAGUAUUUAUAACCCAUAACACGUUCGAUCGAAGGGAUCUGAUACGCGUGUUAUGCUCGCUCGUCUGUAUAUAUGUAUAUAUGCUCCAAGUACCCUUCGAAACAUCGAGGAGCAUUGAGAGAGGCAUCAAUGGAACGUCGCGACGCAUUAAUCGAAACAGAUGAUUCCACUUGUCUGUGAUAUCCGUGUAACAGUUCGUGUCCGCCGCGUUGCGUGACUUCUCUCUAAUUUUCACGUCGGUCGGAAAGCGUGUACAUAUGGCACAAACAAAGAGUGUCGAAUGUGUAUCUAUCGGUCGAUCGUUUUCGUGCGUCAAUUAUAGUCUGUUCGAUCGGGCAAUUGAAUGCAUUUCUCAUCGAAAUACACGCUAGCGCGACAUACCAAUCGCAUCACGUUGCACGUGACGUAUUUGACAGUGCGUGUCGUAUUAUUCCGAGAACUUUGUAUUAUUCGCGAGUGUAUCGGAAUCGGGAGUGUGUAUCCGCGAGUGCGUCGAUGAACAUCGAGAUGCAACGAGCGAUCGCUUCGUGACGGAUUAAUCGAGAGGGAGAGGAUCUGCUCCGCGCGUCUGCUAAUGGAUGAUAGCGGCGAAACAGAAAGCGGAGCGGAUUCGGCGUGGCGUAAUUGGCGAAGCGACGUGAAGAGGAAAACGAGAGGUCGGAAGUAUCUCCAUGGUUGAGCUCGGAAGGGUAGUAGUCACGUCGCUGUUUAUACUCGUGCGGUUGCAGUCACAACAGUUGUUAAGGUUCUCGCAGCCAAAUUCGCGCGCAAUUUAUGAGCAAUAAUACCUAAACGGAUCGUUGCUUUGUGUUUUCGAUAGUUCUCUCAUUGUGCAAUGUACGCGAAAUAAGCGUACGAUCGCGUCGGGAGUGCCGUGUAAAGUUCUGCGUGUCGGGAGUGCCGUAUAAAGUGUCGGACGAUCGUAAUUAUUUGUGUUCGUGACUGCUACGAAGACGAGAAUGAUCGACCAGAAGAGGAGGAAACCAGGAAAGCAUCGGGUGAGAACGGGGCAACUAUGAGAUCAAUGUGCUGUGUACUAUAACUCCGCUAUUGCAGAAUGCCCGUCAAUCGCCAAGCUCCGCGAUCGAUUCGGUCCCGGAUAUCAAUAAAUGUGCAAAUAUCGAUAAACGGUAAGAGCCCCGAGAAUACCAUUUUGAAAGGAGCGACGAACGAAUCGACUUAGGCAGAUUCCAACAAUCGAACAAGAAAUACCAUACAAUCUCGAGUUCUGCCGAAGGUAGGCGGGAGAAAACGUACUCGGAUGCCGAGCACGUAUUGACAACCUGGUCACCGACGCGCUCAAUGGCAACCCCAAAUAGAAAGAAAGGUGAAAGACGUUUUCUUCCUCCGGUCUCUCCUCUAUCCCAAGUUCAAUCCUCUUGCCGACACGCCCGGGGUCUUGCACACAGAGGAACAUUUUUACAACGGUCAGCGCUCUCUGAUGUUCGAACAAAUCUCCGCCGACGACUCCUCGCAUGCAGUCCAAUUUAACUAAAUCCUUUCCGCUUUUCCUCGCCGAUGGAGAGGCCCCCCCGGAUGAGAGUAGGUUCGAGGGAGAGGGUGGGGGUAUCCAUACGUGAAGAUAAGAUUGGAAAAGUUGUAUGAGGGGCAACUUUAACGGCUAUAUAACCAUUACAGUGCCGAUAAAGUGGAAUCUAGUGUCUUAACGGUCCGGAACGAAAUUCCGGAUAUAGCGUCGUAUAUUCCAAUGGAGUUAAACACGUUCAGAUACUGGUCGUCUGCCCGCCGUUGUGAGAAGUGUACGCGCUGGUUUAUUGAUCGAUCGAUCUGAGAGAAAUGGUCAGGGUAACUUCCAACUAUCUAUCCUACUUUACACGCGCUUAUGAAUCCGUCCAUAAACAGGGAUAACGGACUUAAGGUUCUCUAUUGGAUAAGAAAAUUUUACAGAUACGAUUGCAUUUUACAUCCGUCGCGAACAAAGAUUGUAAACUCGUAUAAAUUUCUUUAUUAUAUAUCUGUAC